UUUUGUCAAGCGGUGGCAUAACAGUAGCAGUCGACGGGAAUCUUCGGAUUCCAGUGGCGGACGGGUGAGUAACGCGCAAUAAUCUAACUUCAGGACGGGGACAACAGUUGGAAACGACUGCUAAUACCCGAUGUGCCGCAAGGUGAAACCUAAUUGGCCUGGAGAAGAGCUUGCGUCUGAUUAGCUAGUUGGUGGGGUAAGAGCCUACCAAGGCGACGAUCAGUAGCUGGUCUGAGAGGAUGAGCAGCCACACUGGGACUGAGACACGGCCCAGACUCCUACGGGAGGCAGCAGUGGGGAAUUUUCCGCAAUGGGCGAAAGCCUGACGGAGCAACGCCGCGUGAGGGAGGAAGGUCUUUGGAUUGUAAACCUCUUUUCUCAAGGAAGAAGUUCUGACGGUACUUGAGGAAUCAGCCUCGGCUAACUCCGUGCCAGCAGCCGCGGUAAUACGGGGGAGGCAAGCGUUAUCCGGAAUUAUUGGGCGUAAAGCGUCCGCAGGUGGUCAGCCAAGUCUGCCGUCAAAUCAGGUUGCUUAACGACCUAAAGGCGGUGGAAACUGGCAGACUAGAGAUCAGUAGGGGUAGCAGGAAUUCCCAGUGUAGCGGUGAAAUGCGUAGAGAUUGGGAAGAACAUCGGUGGCGAAAGCGUGCUACUGGGCUGUAUCUGACACUCAGGGACGAAAGCUAGGGGAGCGAAAGGGAUUAGAUACCCCUGUAGUCCUAGCCGUAAACGAUGGAUACUAGGCGUGGCUUGUAUCGACCCGAGCCGUGGCCGAAAGCAA
rnacentral:rRNA from 1 species